ACGGGUAAGUUAGUCAUUUGAGCUAUCAGGAGAUACGUGGCUUCUGUUCCUACAGCCACUGCUUAAUUGUGUAGCUCUUCCUCUUCUUUCGAUCCUUUUCCCAUGAGUUCUCUCCGGUCUUCUCAAAGGUACUUUUCCCAGUUCACUGUUAGCUAUGAUGAUUUUUGGCAUGAAGGAGAAGUGUAUAGGGCAGAAAGGAGAGACAACAUGGAGCCCUUCACCAGAAACAAAGGUAGAGCCGUCAAAAUGGGCUUGGCCCAUGAGGCCAGCCAAACCCAGCUCGCUACUUGAGUAGGGUUGGGCUAGAAUUUCUUUGAGCCCUUUUAAAAUUGAUGCUUAUAAGCCCGGCCCAAGUCAGCCCGCUAGCCCUUGAGGCUUGACCGAGGAUGAGCCUAGGCCGGCCCGUGGGCCAAAAAAUAAUUAAAUAUUUAAUAUUUAAAAAAAUAAAACUACAAAAACUAUUAACUAUAAUCCUCAUUCCCCAACCCUAGAUUGCUCAUUUACCCUUUCAUAUCAACUAAAAUUUAGAUUUUUGAUAUGCAUGUAAUAUGACAAUUAGUUUUUCUUUUUCUUAAUUUUUAACAAACUCUAAAAGUUUUAGGUGACCAAUAAUAAUCUUUUUUCAAAAGAAAAUAUUACUUUAAGUGGCCAAUGAUCAGUUUGGAUUACUUUAAUAUAUUAUUAAUAUUUAAACAGUUAUUCAAUAUAGAAAAAGAUCAAUUUUAAAUACAUAAAAAAAAUGACCACAAGCAAAUUUCAGGAAUUUUAAAAUUUUUAUGGAUUAUAAUGAUGAAAUCAGCAAAUGAUGUUAAUCCUAAAUUAAAAAAACUCAGCAUAUAAAUUUAUUGAAGCAAUCCCUGAAUCUGAGAAAAAUGAAAGAAAAGUAUAAAGAAAAUAUUCAUGUAAUUUUAAAAAAGAAGAGCUAGAGAUAUAGAGAAU